GACAAACUUACUGGCGAUAGCAACACAAAUGUGAACAACGAGGUUUACGUGAAUCAACCGCCCGUUCAGGUUCACAUAGUGCAUCCGCCAUGCGACCCAGGCAAAUAUUAUGACGAAGGCAGAAGGAAAUGUCGCAGGCUGCCCAAAAGUGCGGUUGGUGUGUGACCGUUCGUCGACAUGUAUGGGAAAAUGCGGAAGAGGAGCACUGCGAAAUUUUCUCGUUUCCAAAACAACAACUCAGAAUUUUCAAACAAGAAUAAGAUAUUUUCGUUAUCAAUAUUCUAUACUACUACUUGCUUUAAAUCGUUAUA